AUUUAUUAUUUUAUUCUUUUUGGCAUGUAUUUUCCCCUUCCUCCUCAGUUCCCCACUGCUGCCCAUAAAAUCCCAAAUCUUAUUCAAGGCCUAUCUCAAAUAGUCUUCCUCCUAAGAAGCCUGGUUUUGUUUUUUGUUUUAAUAUUAUUUCUUGUGAUCUCUUCUUACCUCAUACACUGUAUAUGCUUAACUCACAUUGUAUUGUGCUAUGUGUAUGCUGCAUAUGGCUAGGUCCUCUGGGACAGGGAUUGUGCCUUUUUCCUUUCAGUGUCACCUGUGGGACCAAGCACAGACCUAUAUGCAGUGGGCCCUAAAUAAACAUUUGCUGAAUUAAAAAUGUUAAGUAUUUCUGGUUUUCCCAGUCCUUUAUACAAUAAUUUGUGUCUGCUGAUGAUCCAAACCUCUUUGCUCACUUUCGAAGGCCUGCAAAAUCCCUCCAGAACAAAGCUCAGCCUGCGGCAUGACUCAGCAAUACAGGGUCUGCGUGCAUUCCCGGCUCUGGUAGCUUCUACAGAAUGGAAGGAAGUUUGUUUCAGCCACACCAGGGGGCAGUGUGACACACGUCUGCAUGGCCAUCAAGGCAGGCCUUCCUGUUUAGUGAAGUUAGACAAAGAGUGCUGGAGACGUGACACAUGACUAGACUAAGUUGGAGAUGGACUUUGUUGGGAGACCGUUUCCUGGGGGCCAGCGAAAAGUUAGAGUCUAGACGUCUGAUGAAAUCUUUGAACAGGAACACCAACCAUGGACCACCUAUCUCCAGAUUUUUAUGUGAGAAAAAGAGUAAAAGAGUAAGCACACACAAAAUGUAGUAUAGCCAUCCUUCCAGACUUUAAUUUGUGAACUCACAUGCAUGUAUAUGUGCACUUACACACAUAGGCACACACAUAUUUAAAUACUAUUGAUGAAGGAAAUUUUCAACUUUGAAUGUUUGUGGGCCCUAAUCCUGGGCUCCCAGGGAAGCUAUACUUGAACAUUUAGCAUGGUCAGAAUGGCUCAGAAAAACCUCAAAGCAUGGGCUCUAUUUCUACCCCAAGCACACAUUGUCUAUCUGCUUCAUUUAAAAAUAAUAAUCAUAAGGAGCAUUCCAAACAUAAAGGUAAGAAAAAGAAAAAACCUCCCCCUGGUUUCUCUAAGAUGGAAGUCAAAGAGCCUUGCACAUAAAAACUAAGAUCAUGUCUAUAACUUUCCAGAGCGUCCUUCAUAAUGAUUUGUAACUCUAUGUAAAAAAACAAAAAACAAAAAACAAAAAACAAAAACCUAUGUAACACUGCACCGAAUGUUUCUUUCCUGGAGCACUCUUAUUUGUGAAGAUCAUCUAUCCAGGCAGCUGUCCUAACUUGGGCUCAAAUGAAACUUUUCCUUGCUCUUUAUAAUUUUUAAAAAGGUUUGUUCGUUUUUCAGCACUAUGCAUGGGAAAUUGUCACUUUUUUCCAUUUAACAUUAUUUCGGAGCCAAUUUCCAUGCCGAUAAAUACAAAUCAAUGUAAAGCAACCAUUUAGAGUGGCUAUCUGCUAUUUCAAUGUAUAAAUGCAUUUCAGUUUAUUUUAGCAGCCUUCCAUUGAUGAGCGAUUGUGGUUGUCAUCGUUUUUAAAGCUUCCUCCUAUUCUAAACAAUCCUGUGCUGAACAUCUUUAUAUGUCACUGGGCACAUUUGCUUUACUACUUCCUUGGAAUUAUUUCUCAGAAAAAGAAGUUCUCAGGCGCUCACCUGACUGGAAGACAACUGAUCUGUCAAGGGUUGAAGUCAAUAAAAGCAACAAGGAGCCAAAAUUAAGGUCA
rnacentral:lncRNA from 1 species